rnacentral:rRNA from 1 species
GACGAACGCUGGCGGCGUGCCUAAUACAUGCAAGUAGAACGCACAGUUUAUACCGUAGCUUGCUACACCAUACACUGUGAGUUGCGAACGGGUGAGUAACGCGUAGGUAACCUGCCUGGUAGCGGGGGAUAACUAUUGGAAACGAUAGCUAAUACCGCAUAAUAUUAAUUAUUGCAUGAUAAUUGAUUGAAAGAUGCAAUUGCAUCACUACCAGAUGGACCUGCGUUGUAUUAGCUAGUAGGUGAGGUAACGGCUCACCUAGGCGACGAUACAUAGCCGACCUGAGAGGGUGGUCGGCCACACUGGGACUGCGACCCGGCCCAGACUCCUACGGGAGGCAGCAGUAGGGAAUCUUCGGGAAUGGACGAAAGUCUGACCGAGCAACGCCGCGUGAGUGAAGAAGGUUUUCGGAUCGUAAAGCUCUGUUGUAAGAGAAGAACGGGUGUGAGAGUGGAAAGUUCACACUGUGACGGUAUCUUACCAGAAAGGGACGGCUAACUACGUG